UACGUAGGGUCCGAGCGUUGUCCGGAGUUACUGGGCGUAAAGCGCGCGCAGGCGGCGGUGCUGGCCCGGCGUGAAAGCCCCCGGCUCAGCCGGGGAGAGUCGUCGGGGACCGCACCGCUUGAGGGCGGUAGGGGCUGGUGGAAUGCCUGGUGUAGUGGUGAAAUGCGUAGAGAUCAGGCAGAACACCUGGGGCGAAGGCGGCCAGCUGGGCCGUCCCUGACGCUGAGGCGCGAAGGCGUGGGGAGCGAACGGG
rnacentral:rRNA from 1 species